AGUUUGUGUUUUUAAGUGUUUUGAUUCAAGUAAAAGUUAAUUUUCGUUCAAAGUCAUUCCUAGUGUCUAGUUUAAGUUUAUUUGGUUGUUUUAAGCUGUUUUGAGUAUUUUAAGUUUGCUUUGAGUCUUGUGAAUCUUGUUAAGUGUUUUUAAGUUUAGUUUUAUGUUUUUGAGUCAGUUUAGAGGUUAUUAGUAAGCCCUCCUAAUCCCCGGUCCAGAACAAUCCUUACUUAUACUUAUACUACAGUUGUCAAAAGAGGGUUAAAUUUGUGUGUUAAGUUAAUUUUUGCAUCACUACACUUAAAUUAGUAUAUUGCAUUCUGUGUUUUUGCAUGAACCUCUUUUUUAUGAACUAAACGUUUAUAAACUAAAUUGAACCUGUAGUUUCAAAUUUAGUGCUUUUGAAACCCGAAGUUUUCUUAAAAUAAUACACCCAUGAAAACCCGAUGUUUUUCAUGAAAACCAUGUCUUAGAACUCGAAUGUUCUAACUUUGAUGCUUAUGGAUGAUUCAUUCCCCAUAGCACUAAUCACAAUCUUGUUCCAUCCAAUUCAGUGGAUUGUUGAACCGUCACAAGUUCAAUUUUCCUAUUUGGACGUUUCUAUUAGAAACCACUUUAUGUGGGGGUACAAGACGUGAAUCUCCACUUGACUAUCAAGAAGCUGAGAAACCAUUGAAACCAACAAUGGCAAGGAAGAGCUGAAUAAGCCUCCGCCAUGAUCUUCAUUCGAAAACUUAUGCCCGAAGCAUUACAAAUGGAAAUACCUCUCAAACGAGGAUUCCUUGGCUCUUUGGCUCACUCCUACAAACUGUUUAAUCAUGAAAGACAUUGCCUGAAGCACACCAUGAUUAUGUCUAUGAAUGAGUACAAUUCUAAAGUUUAUAAAUCCAAUCAAAAUUUGACUAGAGAAUGAUUUUCUCAUCCUUCCUUGUUUCUAACUCGCCCCUGAAGCAGUAGUGUAGAAAGCGGAAGUUUAUCAAAUUCUCGGAUCUGAUUACUGCCACAAACAUAUGGUAGAAUCAAGGCCUGCCAAGGUGUGUCAUCAUGCCCGAAGCGUGCUCCUUGGCACUUAGACCUAAAACUUCAAGAAUAAGAGAUAAUAUUCUCAAACCUUAACCCUGCAUAAUCUACUUCAGUCUCGAUGGAAUAAAUCAUUGGUUAUGCACCUAUUCGUACCUCUACCAAUGUUGUUGAAGAGUACCAUUCUAAUAGUCAAUAUGUGAAACUAAUUUUGCUCCACCAAACAUUGUUGGAAAAGCAGAAUUUUGACAUGGAUGGCCUUGUUGGCCAAAUCCCUGUAGUAAACCAUUUACUUUGUGAACAUUUUUUUAUGUUCUUGGAUUCAAGUUUGGUGUAUGUUUUACUUAUGGAUAACCUUAUUGAUAUUGUCCUUGAAUAUGAGUUAAUUGAAUCAUGUUUCUUGAUACAUGUGACUAAUUCAAUUAAACACGUGAUUAGGUAGGAAUGUGGGAAAAUCAGUUGUCUGGAUGAAUGUGUACUACACACACUAACUUUACACCUAAAUCACAUCUCUAACAAAGACUUAAAGUCUAUCUAACUUGAUUAAGAGCAUUGGCACACUCUUCAUUGUAUGAAUGAUACUAAAUCACCAUUUAAGGGACUUUAAAUUCUCCCUGUCUUUGAGUUUUUAAGGAUAUUCGAGAGAACAAUGAUCAUAAAUGAACCACUAAAGAAAAUAGAGUGAAAUAUCUUUGCACCACCUCCAAAAAUAAGCUUGAAGCUUUGAUUUGGGGCCAAUAUGUUAUCUCCCAACUGGAAACACAUCACAUAUGGGUGGCCCGGGGCCUGGUGAUUGAGCAGUUUACUUGCUUUGGCACGACCUUUUGGGACACUUAGGUCGAACAAUAAUGCUACAACACAUCUCUUUACCCGAAGUAAGGAUCUUGUGCCUACAAUCACACUUUGCCAAGCCUGCUCAUUAAGGAAAUUGAUUUUCUAUAUUAUUUCUCGCAAAGAUACGAAAUCACCCCUUUUUCACAGUGGAUUCAAGGGAAUAUAUGUGGACUAAUCCAACCAAAAUAUGAACCAUAUAAAUACUUAUGGUUUUGGUUGAUGAAUUGACAAAUUGGUCAUAUGUUUGUCCACACACAUUGCUGCUGAAUCUCACAGCCGAUUAAGGGUUCACCACCCUAUUUAUCCCUUAAGGUCCAAGGGACUGGAUAAUGUCGGAGAGUUUAUAUCAACGAUUUUUCGAUAAAGUAUUACUUGUAUUUUGGGUUUAUAAUUGAACAUUGAAAUCCCAUGUUCACCCCAAAUAGCCUCGCCUAGUGACCAUAAAACGCAAUUUAAAUGAUCACUCGGAUUUUGGUACACAUACCAAGUUUUUCAGUUUUUGCCUAGGGCUAUGCAAUCUUGUACACAAUUAUGUUGGUCCGCCUUGAGGCCCAUUGCCACCCAACCUAUAUGACGUUACAGUUGGUUACUGGG
rnacentral:lncRNA from 1 species